rnacentral:rRNA from 1 species
GACGAACGCUGGCGGCGUGCCUAAUACAUGCAAGUUGAGCGAUGAAGAUUGGUGCUUGCACCAAUUUGAAGAGCAGCGAACGGGUGAGUAACGCGUGGGGAAUCUGCCUUUGAGCGGGGGACAACAUUUGGAAACGAAUGCUAAUACCGCAUAACAACUUUAAACAUAAGUUUUAAGUUUGAAAUAUGCAAUUGCAUCACUCAAAGAUGAUCCCGCGUUGUAUUAGCUAGUUGGUGAGGUAAAGGCUCACCAAGGCGAGGAUAAAUAGCCGACCUGAGAGGGGGAUCGGCCACACUGGGACUGAGACACGGCCCAAACUCCUACGGGAGGCAGCAGUAGGGAAGCUUCGGCAAUGGACGAAAGUCUGACCGAGCAACGCCGCGGGAGUGAAGAAGGUUUUCGGGUCGUAAAACUCGGUUGGUAGAGAAGAACGUUGGUGAGAGUGGAAAGCUCAUCAAGUGACGGUAACUACCCAGAAAGGGACGGCUAACUACGUG